UACAGAGGGUGCAAGCGUUAAUCGGAAUUACUGGGCGUAAAGCGUGCGUAGGUGGUUCUUUAAGUCAGGUGUGAAAUCCCUGGGCUCAACCUGGGAACUGCAUUUGAUACUGAAGAGCUAGAGUGUGAUAGAGGAUAGUGGAAUUCCCGGUGUAGCGGUGAAAUGCGUAGAUAUCAGGAGGAACACCCAUGGCGAAGGCAGCUUCCUGGGUCCAAUCUGACGCUGAGGCGCGAAAGCGUGGGGAGCGAACGGG
rnacentral:rRNA from 1 species